rnacentral:rRNA from 1 species
UACGGAGGGUGCGAGCGUUAAUCGGAAUUACUGGGCGUAAAGCGCGCGUAGGCGGUCUGAUCAGCCGGUUGUGAAAGCCCCGGGCUCAACCUGGGAACGGCAUCCGGAACUGUCAGGCUAGAGUGCAGGAGAGGAAGGUAGAAUUCCCGGUGUAGCGGUGAAAUGCGUAGAGAUCGGGAGGAAUACCAGUGGCGAAGGCGGCCUUCUGGACUGACACUGACGCUGAGGUGCGAAAGCGUGGGUAGCAAACAGG